UACAGAGGGGGCAAGCGUUAUUCGGAAUUAUUGGGCGUAAAGCGCGUGUAGGCGGUCCGGUAAGUCCGCUGUGAAAGUCGGGGGCUCAACCCUCGGAUGCCGGUGGAUACUGUCGGGCUUGAGUACGGAAGAGGCGAGUGGAAUUCCUGGUGUAGCGGUGAAAUGCGCAGAGUAUCAGGAGGAACACCAAUUGCGAAGGCAGCUCGCUGGGACGUUACUGACGCUGAGACGCGAAAGCGUGGGGAGCAAACAGG
rnacentral:rRNA from 1 species